GACAGAGGAGCCAAGCGUUGUCCGGAUUGACUGGGCGUAAAGCGCACGCAGGCGGUCGCGCGCGUGGGGUGUGAAAACUGGCGGCUUAACUGCCAGAGGCCAUCCCAUACGGCGCAACUCGAGCCAUGCAGAGGUCCACGGAAUUGCCGGUGUAGCGGUGAAAUGCGUAGAUAUCGGAAGGAACACCAGUGGCGAAGGCGGCUUCCUGGGCUAAUACUGACACUGAGGUGCGAAAGCGUGGGGAGCAAACAGG
rnacentral:rRNA from 1 species